GGCAGAGGGAAGCGGGCUGAGGAUGCGCAGUGAAGACAUCCAGGCACCCAGGCUGGUGCUGGGCUUGGUUCCGGGUCUUUGCCCCUUGGCAGGUGUGAGCGUCUCCUUGGGAGCAAGGACCAGGGUCCCUGGUUCCUCCUGGCCAGUAUUUGAAACAGAGUGGCUAUUCCACAGUCUGUCAUUGAAAUAAUGUCACCGGCACACUAGCCACAGUGCCAGUGACGAGCAAGAUGAAGGAAAAUGAAAAGUUUUAUUUCACUUAGUAAGAGACAUCUUAAUUACCACUGGCUAUAUUUGGUUAUCACACAGCAGAAUAACAAAGAUGUAUAUUAAUGACGUCU
rnacentral:lncRNA from 1 species